GCAAAGUCCACCGCGUUCUGGCUCGUGAACGCCUCCCACAGCCCGUCGCUGCCGAUGACAAGGAACUCGUCGUCCUUCCCCAGAGUGACCAUCUUCAUCUCCGGCUCGGCGAUCAGCGGCCCUCCAUCGGCGCUCUUGAUUCCAUGCAGGUGCCAGUCCCCCAGAGCCCUCGUCACUCCAAUCUCCCCGUUCAGGUACUCGUUGUCGAUGAACCCCCCCAUUGCUUCCACCCUCAUUCUCUCUCUUCCGCAGCAGGGCCGGUGGUCCUUGGACAUCUCCACCGCCGUCCCGGCACGCGACAGCACCGCCCGGCAGUCCCCGGCAUUGGCGACCAGCAGCGAUCUGCACGCACCCACCAGAAUUCCACUCAAUUCCGUGAUCAAACAACGAUUGAGGAAGGA
rnacentral:lncRNA from 1 species